AGGGAUCAUUACAAGAGCGCCGAAAGGCUGCUUAAAACCAUCGUGAACCUAUCCAUCAGCGUUGCUUCGGCGGGAGCGCUCGCGGGGCCGGAGUCUCUCCGGUCCCCGGGCCGUGGACCCCACACCUCCGGGUGCGGGGCCGCCCGCCGGAGGUACGAAACUCUUCUGCAUCUUAGUGUCAUCUCUGAGUAAACUAGCUAAUAAUUAAAACUUUCAACAACGGAUCUCUUGGUUCUGGCAUCGAUGAAGAACGCAGCGAAAUGCGAUAAGUAAUGUGAAUUGCAGAAUUCAGUGAAUCAUCGAAUCUUUGAACGCACAUUGCGCCCGCCAGUACUCUGGCGGGCAUGCCUGUUCGAGCGUCAUUUCAACCCUCAAGCCCUGCUUGGUGUUGGGGCCCUACGGCUGCCGUAGGCCCUGAAGGGAAGUGGGCGGGGCUCGCUACAACUCCGAGCGUAGUAGAAUCCUAUCUCGCUAGGGAGGUGCGGCGUGCUCCAGCCGUUAAAGACCCCAUCUUUAACCAAGGUUGACCUCGGAUCAGGUAGAAAUACCCGCUGAACUUAAGCAUAUCAAUAAGCGGAGGAAAAGAAACCAACAGGGAUUGCCCCAGUAACGGCGAGUGAAGCGGCAACAGCUCAAAUUUGAGAUCUGGCUUCGGCCCGAGUUGUAAUUUGUAGAGGAUGCUUUUGGCGAGGUGCCUUCUGAGUUCCCUGGAACGGGACGCCAGAGAGGGUGAGAGCCCCGUAUAGUCGGACACCUAGCCUCUGUAAAGCUCCUUCGACGAGUCGAGUAGUUUGGGAAUGCUGCUCAAAAUGGGAGGUAUAUCUCUUCUAAAGCUAAAUAUAGGCCAGAGACCGAUAGCGCACAAGUAGAGUGAUCGAAAGAUGAGAAGCACUUUGAAAAGAGGGUUAAAUAGCACGUGAAAUUGUUGAAAGGGAAGCGCUUGUGACCAGACUUGUGCCGGGCUGAUCAUCCAGUGUUCUCACUGGUGCACUCGACCCGGCUCAGGCCAGCGUCGGUUCUCGCAGGGGGACAAAAGCUUCGGGAACGUGGCUCCUCCGGGAGUGUUAUAGCCCGCUGCUCAAUACCCUUGCGUGGACCGAGGUUCGCGCUCUGCAAGGACGCUGGCAUAAUGGUCAUCAGCGACC
rnacentral:rRNA from 1 species